rnacentral:lncRNA from 1 species
AUAUUUAAUAGCAGCAGUCAAAUAACAAUGGCAGGCUUAAUUAAAUCACUUCAUCAUCACCACAAGCAAAGUAUUAAUGCAUGCCAACAAGUAGAACCUGAUCCUCGAUAAUCUAAUUAGAGUUAAUUAGAGCAUAAAGAAUAAUUAAUAUUAUAUAUAUAGCAGUAGCCACUAGCCACUACUCUUCUACAAACUCUCUUGAAGAUAUGCAUGCCUGCUUAGUCAAAUAAUUAAUAACAUAUCUAUAUAUUUAUAUAUAUGUGCGAAUUGAAUCGCUUCUGAUAUAGUCAAAUCCAUUGUCCAUGCAUGUUUCUCGCUCCUUCCAGUGCCAUAUGCUGUUGCUGUUCAAAUU